CAAAUCCAAAUGUCAGUAUUUGAAGGAACGUCUCACGAUGUAUGUGUAGGAACAUAUCACAAUGUAUUUAUGUAAAUAACAUCCUGAUGUUAACCCUUCAGGCUUAUGUAAAGUUGUUGUAGGUGAAUACGAAAUACCUAUGAUCACUUAAAAAUCACUAAAAUACAGUACUCCGAGGAAAAUUAAAAACGGAAAGUCCCUAACCAAAUUACAAAAUUAAAAGCUCAAACACAUCAAACGAAUUGAAAACAACUUUCAUAUUUGCAUAUUACAAUGUGUUCCCCAUGAUAAGGAAAAGCGACAAAAACACAAAGCCUUCCAUCAAUUGCUUACAGUGUUUUUUAUAUUUUGUUCCUUUCACAUCCAUCACAUUUCCCUUUUCCCCAAACAAGUAGAUUCAGUUUCGGAACCACUUUAUUAGCUUUGUUACAUCCGAUCAUUAAAAUAGAAUAGAGAAUAGAAACCGGAAAUGUGUCAAAGAAGAAACAACCCGACAAACAGCUCAAUGCCACCAAUGGGCCUCCAACGCAGCGAAAAAAUCAGAAAAUUUCAGAUGGUCCCAAAACAGAUAUGUAUUAUAGUUCAGCGAAAUGGACGCCAUACUCACUCCGAAACAUACAAAUAAAGCAAGUAUUUAAAAACCCACAAUGCUAAGAAAGGUUAGAGGUUCUAACGUUGGACAGGCGCAAUCAUGCAAAUAUGUUUUGUGAUAUCUCAACCCCUAAACACUCAGCAAAAUUCAGUUUAGUUGUAAAAUGAAUACCACAGAAGAGGAUGUUAGUUAUUCUUAAAGAUAAAAGAGGGACGAAAGAUACCAGAGGGACAGUCAAACUCAUAAAUCGAAUAUAAACUGACAACGUCAUGGCUAAAAAUGAAAAGGACAAACAUACAAACAAUAGUACACAUGACACAACAUAGAAAACUACAUAAUAAGCAAAACGAA
rnacentral:lncRNA from 1 species